AAAAACGACUCUCGGCAACGGAUAUCUCGGCUCACGCAUCGAUGAAGAACGUAGCAAAAUGCGAUACUUGGUGUGAAUUGCAGAAUCCCGUGAAUCAUCGAGUUUUUGAACGCAAGUUGCGCCCAAAACCAUCCGGUUGAGGGCACGCCUGCCUGGGCGUC
rnacentral:rRNA from 8 species